AUGAACGCUAGCUACAGGCUUAACACAUGCCAGUCGAGGGGAAACGACAUCGACAGCUUGCUUUUGAUGGGCGUCGACCGGCGCACGGGUGAGUAACGCGUAUCCAACCUGCCCAUCACUUGGGAAUAACCUUGCGAAAGUAAGACUAAUACCCAAUGAUAUCCCACGAAGGCAUCGGAAUGGGAUUAAAGAUUUAUCGGUGAUGGAUGGGGAUGCGUCUGAUUAGCUUGUUGGCGGGGUAACGGCCCACCAAGGCAACGAUCAGUAGGGGUUCUGAGAGGAAGGUCCCCCACAUUGGAACUGAGACACGGUCCAAACUCCUACGGGAGGCAGCAGUGAGGAAUAUUGGUCAAUGGGCGAGAGCCUGAACCAGCCAAGUAGCGUGCAGGAAGACGGCCCUAUGGGUUGUAAACUGCUUUUAUAAGGGAAUAAAGUGGGUCACGUGUGACUUUUUGCAUGUACCUUAUGAAUAAGGACCGGCUAAUUCCGUG
rnacentral:rRNA from 1 species